rnacentral:rRNA from 1 species
GGGUUGUGAGGUUAAGCGACUAAGCGUACACGGUGGAUGCCCUGGCAGUCAGAGGCGAUGAAGGACGUGCUAAUCUGCGAUAAGCGUCGGUAAGGUGAUAUGAACCGUUAUAACCGGCGAUUUCCGAAUGGGGAAACCCAGUGUGAUUCGUCACACUAUCAUUAACUGAAUCCAUAGGUUAAUGAGGCGAACCGGGGGAACUGAAACAUCUAAGUACCCCGAGGAAAAGAAAUCAACCGAGAUUCCCCCAGUAGCGGCGAGCGAACGGGGAGCAGCCCAGAGCCUGAAUCAGUGUGUGUGUUAGUGGAAGCGUCUGGAAAGGCGUGCGAUACAGGGUGACAGCCCCGUACACAAAAAUGCACAUAUUGUGAGCUCGAUGAGUAGGGCGGGACACGUGGUAUCCUGUCUGAAUAUGGGGGGACCAUCCUCCAAGGCUAAAUACUCCUGACUGACCGAUAGUGAACCAGUACCGUGAGGGAAAGGCGAAAAGAACCCCGGCGAGGGGAGUGAAAAAGAACCUGAAACCGUGUACGUACAAGCAGUGGGAGCACGCUUAGGCGUGUGACUGCGUACCUUUUGUAUAAUGGGUCAGCGACUUAUAUUCUGUAGCAAGGUUAACCGAAUAGGGGAGCCGAAGGGAAACCGAGUCUUAACUGGGCGUUAAGUUGCAGGGUAUAGACCCGAAACCCGGUGAUCUAGCCAUGGGCAGGUUGAAGGUUGGGUAACACUAACUGGAGGACCGAACCGACUAAUGUUGAAAAAUUAGCGGAUGACUUGUGGCUGGGGGUGAAAGGCCAAUCAAACCGGGAGAUAGCUGGUUCUCCCCGAAAGCUAUUUAGGUAGCGCCUCGUGAAUUCAUCUCCGGGGGUAGAGCACUGUUUCGGCAAGGGGGUCAUCCCGACUUACCAACCCGAUGCAAACUGCGAAUACCGGAGAAUGUUAUCACGGGAGACACACGGCGGGUGCUAACGUCCGUCGUGAAGAGGGAAACAACCCAGACCGCCAGCUAAGGUCCCAAAGUCAUGGUUAAGUGGGAAACGAUGUGGGAAGGCCCAGACAGCCAGGAUGUUGGCUUAGAAGCAGCCAUCAUUUAAAGAAAGCGUAAUAGCUCACUGGUCGAGUCGGCCUGCGCGGAAGAUGUAACGGGGCUAAACCAU